AUAUUGGUGUUCUGAACCCAUAUGCAAUUCAUAUCUAAUUGCUUGCUGUGUUGCAGGCACAAAGGUAACAAGUGUUAUUUGAGUUAAGUUCAAAGUUAUUUGGGUUUAUGGUUAUUCACUUAUUCUCUAAGUCUUGUAGUGUGAAGUGCAAAAAUAUUUUUGGAAUCAAAAUAUCCCAUAUCAAAUAUUACAGUUUACACAAAAAGCGAUUCAGUGGAUGUCGCCACACAGCUUGCCUGCCUCCUUGCAGUGUUCUCCAAGCUGGCUUUUCAGAUAGGUGGUGAUGGAUAUGCAGUGUGAAGUGAAGAAAGGAAAGACAACUAUGAGGUUACUAGGUGACUGAAGUUGUUCCGUUGAGUUUUCUUCUGAGAUCAUGCAUGCUUGCAAAUCAUAGUUUAGUUUGGAAUCCAUGGUCUUGAAUUAGCAUUGUAUCUUGAAUUGGAUUGUAACAAAACAAAAUUCUUGUGGUAUGAAUGUAUGCUACCGAUGUGCUCUUUUUUC